AGUGAACGCUGGCGGCAGGCCUAACACAUGCAAGUCGAACGGCAGCACAGUAAGAGCUUGCUCUUACGGGUGGCGAGUGGCGGACGGGUGAGGAAUACAUCGGAAUCUACUUUUUCGUGGGGGAUAACGUAGGGAAACUUACGCUAAUACCGCAUACGACCUACGGGUGAAAGCAGGGGAUCUUCGGACCUUGCGCGAUUGAAUGAGCCGAUGUCGGAUUAGCUAGUUGGCGGGGUAAAGGCCCACCAAGGCGACGCUCCGUAGCUGGUCUGAGAGGAUGAUCAGCCACACUGGAACUGAGACACGGUCCAGACUCCUACGGGAGGCAGCAGUGGGGAAUAUUGGACAAUGGGCGCAAGCCUGAUCCAGCCAUACCGCGUGGGUGAAGAAGGCCUUCGGGUUGUAAAGCCCUUUUGUUGGGAAAGAAAAGCAGCAGGUUAAUACCCCGCUGUUCUGACGGUACCCAAAGAAUAAGCACCGGCUAACUUCGUG
rnacentral:rRNA from 1 species